rnacentral:rRNA from 1 species
GACGAACGCUGGCGGCGUGCCUAAUACAUGCAAGUCGAACGAGUGGCGGACGGGUGAGUAACACGUGAGUAACCUGCCCCUUCUUCUGGAUAACUGCUUGAAAGGGUAGCUAAUACGGGAUAGUGGGGGAUGGGCUCGCGGCUUAUGCGCUUGUUGUGGGGGUGAUGGCCUACCCAGGCGGUGACGGGUAGCCGGCCGGGGAGGGUGGACGGGCACACUGGGACUGAGACACGGCCCAGACUCCUACGGGAGGGAGCAGUGGGGAAUCUUCCGCGAUGGACGAAAUUCUGACGGAGCAACGCCGCGGGAGGGAUGACGGCCUUCGGGUUGUGAAGCUCUGUUAAUCGGGACGCGGUACCGGAAUAGAAAGCCACGGCUAACUACGUGCCAGCCGCCGCGGUAAUUC